UAAUAUUGUCAGCAUAAAUUGACCUGCUUGGAAUCAUUGUGUUGAUAAUUGACAAGGAUACUCCUCCUCCAAAAACCUUGAUACUAUAAAACUUCUAAAGGACACUGUCCUAGGACUCUUUUAGUUUUCAUUUUUUGGGAAACAUUUCUGGAAAAUUCAAAUGCUCACAACCUGAAAGAAGCAAUUAUUCACCUGAAGGCUGGCUCUGCUAAAGUUGAGUUGUCCGACCUUUCCAUGCUGAUAGAAACCAAAAAGCCUUGCAAAACAAUGCUCUCUUAUUGGAUAUAAGCAUAUAGAUUGUUUAAGAUGGACGUGUAUAUGCAGUAAAGUGAAAAAACAGAGAAUCUUUGAGAUUCCCUUGCUGGGUUUUUUUUACUUUUUCAUUUAAGUUUCUAUAGCGUAUGCUAAUAAUUCAGGGUAACCUCAGGUUAGUUUUAGUUCCACUCUUUACAUAAAUGUUGAAGUACUCCAUACCCACCUUUUUUCUACCUUCCUUCUUUUCUUCCAUCUUUCCUUUCUAACUUCUUAUAAUCCAUUAUACUUAAUCCUGCAUUUGCUGAGGUGGCAAUUAGUGUAGGAAAAUUCUGUGAAAUUUUGCUGUUCAGAAUGCAUGUUGACCAAAUUCUAUAUUGAGAAAAGGUCUGAAUUUACCCAGAGUAACCCUUUCUCAGCGUCUUUGAAUAAAGGCCAUAGAAAGUGGGCUAUAUAUAGUAUCCUGACAGGUAUGUAGAAUUCAUAGCAAUUGCCCUCAAAGAGCUUACCUAUCGUAGAUGCAUAUCAAUGCAUUUAAUGAUUGCUUUGUUGGCAGCAGUGCCAUCAUACACGGUCUGUUUGGUUUUAUAUCAUUCUCAUUACCUGCUGAUUACCACUGUAUACAUUGCAAAUGGAGUGGUUUCUAUGGCUUGUGAAUUUCACGGCCAAAUAAUAUGUAAUUUAUUGCACACUUUAGUGUAGAAGAUGGAGACUCCAUAACUUUUCGUGUGUUCUUUGCCCCUUUGGAAUGUAUUACCCUGAGAUCAGGCAAAGUAAUAAAUUUAUUUCAAAUGUGCGUGAUAGCUAAACAUCAAUUAGGAAUGGUGGGCAAUAUUUCUUCUUCCAGCAACAUAACAGUGUUUAAAGACUAAGCCAUUGAACGUGGAGUCACUGAACAUGGGACUCAGUUCACUGGGAUCCUUCUUAGAAAAGUAAAGGACAACUUGAAUUGGAUUUGUGUGGCUUAUUCAAGUAGUAACUUAUCAGCUACAUCUUGGUGAACUUAAUUUGUCACAAACGUUUGGUAUUUUAUUAACUCUCUUCCCCUUCUUCCCCCGACUCUCACAAGAAUGGAUCAUGAGUAUCUUAAAACAUACUAAGUCGUCUUCCAUCCCUGUUAAUCUAACUACAAAAGCACACUUUCCUUAUCCAAUGCAACUUACUGUCUUUUAGAGUAGCUGUGCUUUUAAUUCUGUACAAAAUUACAACCAGCAAAGAGAAACAUUUUCAAGGAGCCACCACAUUGUAGAGCUUUAGAAAGAAGACUUUAGAAUUAAGGGCAAAUAUAUCAAUUUAUAGCUAAAGCACCUGAGGCCUAAAGUAGGCAGGUUACCAUUGAGGUCAGGGAAAGGGGUGGAAGAUCAGGUUUCAAGCUGAGGAAGAGUCUACAGGGACUCAAUCUGAGCAGGUCAAACACUGAAAGGAGGCCACGAAUGUUCUGGGAAGGCUGGCAUGUGGCCUCUAGUGUGGGAUUCAGACACGGAGUGGGCCCGGGGGGAACUGAGCUUCUGCAGUAGGCAGAGAAGUCCACCUCCUCCCCAGAAAGUGCCGAUGACAUCAGGGAGUUGAGGGCAAAGAGCAAUGAGUUCCAGUCCACCUGAGAAAGCAGGCCAGUCUGAUUAACUCUGAAUUUAGGCUUAUUUCAGAUACUUCUUGAGAAAGAACUUGGACAAGAGCAAGUCCCAUGCAGCCUCUUUUAAAUCCAUGCCCAGUAUUUUCUGGUGGAGUUGCUUAAACCCUCCAAGUGACUACAGCAUUUUAAUUUCACUCUGUAAAUAAUUCCGACAGUUCUAUGAUUGAUUAUAUAAUGGGCAAAUAAGUAGGGUCACAAAAGAGUGUGAAUGUAUUUUACAGAAUGAGGCUGGGCGGAGUGGAGCAGUCUGGAAUAGCACACCAAUAAAAAGGGAUCUUGGUAAAGAAGAAUGUCUAUUAGAAAUGGAGAGGAAUUCGCGAGGAAAUUAGUGCCUGACUCCACGCCCUUCUCUCUGCAUGUUUAAAAGCUAGUUUCUAAUUUUAUUUUCAUAGGAGAUGUCUCUGUGAUUAAUUGUCUUUUACCUCCACACUAUUUAUCACAUGGACAUAUUGUGAAGUUUGUGUGAGAGAAAGCAAGUAUUAGAAUUUGUCUUGCAAGCAGCUAUAAGCACUGCCUGGAACAAUGUAGAAGGAAAAGGGAAGGAAGGUGGAAACAAAGGGGAAAGACAGCUGAUGAUGCUGGAGUCUCUCGCUGGGAUUUGUGGUGUCUCUUUUUGAAAGAAAACCCAAAAGCCAGAGAAGAGCAGAGAGGUGCUCACCACUGCAUGUGAACAAAAAGGAUCAUGACUCGGGUACCAAGAAGAAAAGGAAGAUUAUAAAGGAAUCGAACACAGGAUGUACAAGAAUGUCAUCUGUGAUCAAGAUAAUCUGCUGGCCAUCCACAGCGGUGGUUCAGGCACAUCAGAAUCAGCAUCUGGCCAAACAACAGGGAACUUGUUUCAGGACUAUGAAGAGAAAAAGACAAGGAUCCAAACCAAGGAUACAUAUGGGGAUUGAUCCUCCGUGAAGAAAAUAUACUGGCUGGCCCUCACCGUCAUUCAACAGCUCAAAAUGAACAUCUAGUCCCAAAGGGUUGAGCCUCAAAUAUCAUCCCAUACAAGCCACUCCAUUGAAGUCACUGUGAGAAUUCCAUCCUGAAACUGAUCAAGAGUAAUGACUAUAAAAAUGUUGUCAUAUUAUCUUUUGAUUGAGAUAUAAUUCACAGUCCAUCAAUUCACAUUUUUUUUUAACUGUGUGAUUCAGCUGCUUUUAGUGUACUCAGGUUUUGCAAUCAACAUCUCUAAUUCCAGUACAUUUUCAUCAUCCCCAAGAGAAACCUCAUACCUAGUAUCAGUCAUUCUCAUUCUGUCCUCCCCUUUCACCCCAGCCCUGGGUCUUUCUGUCUCUAUUGAUUUUCCUAUGCUGGACCUUUCAUAUGAAUAGAACCACACAAUAUGUGGACUUCUGUGUCUGACUUUUGCAGUAAGCAAAAUGUAUUCAAGGUGCAUCCAGGUUGUAGCAUGUAUCUGUCCUUCACCCUUUUAAUGGCUGAAUAGUAUUCAUUGUAUGGAUAUAACACAUUUUAUUUUUCCAUUCCUCAGUUGGCGAAUAGUUGGGUUGUUUCCACUCUUUGGCUAUUAUGAAUAAUGAUACGACAAUAUAACACUCAUGUACAAGUUUUUGUGUGAACAUAUGUUUUUUAUUUCUCCUGGACAUAUACCUGGGAGUGGAGUUCCUGGGCCAUAUUGUAUCUCUGUGUUGAACUUUUUGAGGAACGGCCAAACUAUUUUCUUUUUCAUAUUUGCACCAGCAAUGCUUGAAAGUGCCAGUUUCCCCACAUCAUUGCCAACCCUUGUUUUUAAAAAAAUUAUAUGGCACAAUAGUGGGUAUGAAGUGGUAUCUCACUGUGGUUUCAGUUUGCAUAAUUUUGACUAAUAAUUUUGGACAUGUUUUCAUGUGCUUAUUGGCAAUUUGUGUCUUCUUUGGAGCAGUAUCUAUGCAGAUUCUUUUUCUCAUUUUUAAAAUUUGGUUAUUUGACAUUUUAGUGUUGAGUUGCCAGUGUUCUUUACAUAUUCUGAAUACUAGGCUUUAUCAGAUAUAUGACUUGCAAACAUUUUGCUUCAUUCUGAAGGUUGUAUUAUGUCUUUCUUGAUGGUGUUCUUUGAAACACAAAGGAUUUUAAUUUUGAUAAAGUCCAAUUUCUUUUUCCUUUUGUUGCCUGUGCUUUUGCUGUCAUAUUUAAGAGUUCAUUGCCAAAUCCAAGACUAUGAAGAUUUAUCCCUUUUUUUCUUCAGAAAUUUGUAUAGUUUAGCUCUUAUAUUUAACUCUUUGAUCCAUUUUAAAUUCAAAGUCUAUUUUGUCUGAUAUUGGUAUAGACACUCCUGCUCUCUUGGUUACUAUUUGAGUUUUCUCACUGAGUUUGGAAUUCCCUUUUCUAUCCUUUAACUUUCAACCUACUUGAGUCUUUUGAUCUCAAGUAAGUCUCUUGUAGAGAGCAUAUAGUUGGAUCAUGUUUUUACCUAUUCCGCCAAUCUCUGUAUUUUGAUUGGAGAGUUUAAUGCAUUUACAUUUAAAGUAAUUGCUGACCAAAAAAAGACUUAUUUCUGCUAUUGUGCUGUUUCUUUUCCAUCUGCCCAAAGCUUUUUUGCCCCUCAUUUCCUGCAUUCCUCUCUUUCGUUGUGUGUGUUUAGCUGAUUUCUUACAAUAAAAUAUUUAAAUUACUUU
ensembl:lncRNA